rnacentral:rRNA from 1 species
AUUGAACGCUGGCGGCAGGCCUAACACAUGCAAGUCGAGCGGAUGAGAGGAGCUUGCUUCUUGAUUCAGCGGCGGACGGGUGAGUAAUGCCUAGGAAUCUGCCUGGUAGUGGGGGACAACGUUUCGAAAGGAACGCUAAUACCGCAUACGCCCUACGGGAGAAAGCAGGGGACCUUCGGGCCUUGCGCUAUCAGAUGAGCCUAGGUCGGAUUAGCUAGUUGGUGAGGUAAUGGCUCACCAAGGCGACGAUCCGUAACUGGUCUGAGAGGAUGAUCAGUCACACUGGAACUGAGACACGGUCCAGACUCCUACGGGAGGCAGCAGUGGGGAAUAUUGGACAAUGGGCGAAAGCCUGAUCCAGCCAUGCCGCGUGUGUGAAGAAGGUCUUCGGAUUGUAAAGCACUUUAAGUUGGGAGGAAGGGUUGUACGUUAAUACCGUGCAAUUUGGACGUUACCGACAGAAUAAGCACCCGCUAACUCUGUGCCAGCCGCCGCUGUAA